AUUUAUAUAGUUUAAAUAAAACAAUACAUUUUCAUUGUAUAAAUAAUAUGUAAUAAUAUUUAUAAAUA
rnacentral:tRNA from 1 species